UACGUAGGGGGCGAGCGUUGUCCGGAAUGACUGGGCGUAAAGGGCGCGUAGGUGGCCUUAUAAGUUUGGAGUGAAAGUCCCGCUUUCAAGGUGGGAAUUGCUUUGAAGACUGUAGGGCUUGAGUGUGGGAGAGGAUAGCGGAAUUCCCGGUGUAGCGGUGAAAUGCGUAGAGAUCGGGAGGAACGCCAGUGGCGAAGGCGGCUAUCUGGACCAAGACUGACACUGAGGCGCGAAAGCGUGGGUAGCAAACAGGAUUAGAUACCCUGGUAGUCCGCGCCGUAAACGAUGGAUGCUAGGUGUAGGAGGUAUCGACCCCUUCUGUGCCGGAGUCAACACAAUAAGCAUCCCGCCUGGGGAGUACGGCCGCAAGGUUGAA
rnacentral:rRNA from 1 species